UACAGAGGGUGCGAGCGUUGUCCGGAAUCACUGGGCGUAAAGGGCGCGUAGGUGGCGCGACAAGUCAGUGGUGAAAGCUCGACGCUCAACGUCGAGUCGGCCACUGAUACUGUUGGGCUUGAGCACUGUAGAGGCUAAUGGAAUUCCGGGUGUAGCGGUGGAAUGCGUAGAGAUCCGGAAGAACACCGGAGGCGAAGGCGGCUUGCUGGGCAUUGUCUGACGCUGAGGCGCGAAAGCGUGGGGAGCGAACAGG
rnacentral:rRNA from 1 species